UACUAUUGUCGAUUCACAAAUAGUAUCUGGGUGGACUGAAAUAUUUAUAGAUCGAUCACCAUUGCCGCUAGAAGACAUAAACAUCAUUAGGGAGCAAUGGACCACAUUUUUUAUUGACCAUUACUUUAACUAGUUAGAACUUACAUUUCAUUGAGCAAUGUAGUCCAUUUAUGUAUUAGAUGUAUUUAAAACUAUUCAAUUAUAUAUAUAUGAUUAACAUUUAUCAUCUUGUCA